CCUAGGAACGCACCGCAGGCAAGGGAGGGGGCCCGGGCAUUGACGUCAGAGGGGCGGGGCCUCGGCGCCCCACCCAACCGCUCUCCACUCAGCCUGGUCCCAGCUUGGACAACCAAGCUGAGGCAGAGACAUCGAGUCACAGACACAAAGUAUCCAAGCCAGGAAGUGGCCGCAGGAUCGGAACCUCACAUGCUGGGCUCUACCAAGAUGUUUCCUGGGCGUCCUGUUGGGCUUGCAGUUGGGGUUGGACGUCAGAGCUGGAGCACUGAGGGGAAGACGUUGCUCUCGGGCCAGCAGGUACCUCCUCCUCUCUGGCCUGUGACCCUGUCCUUCCUGUCCUGCCCAGGUGGAGACUCAGAAGAAAGGACUGCCGAUCCUUGCCAAGACAAGGCAGAAAAGCCCUUUAGAAAAUCCUGCUUCACAGAUGAGUCUGUCAGAUAUGCUAGGCCUGUAGGCUGAAGAUGGGUACCCCAACGUUGCAGAGG